GACGUAGGGCGCAAGCGUUGUCCGGAUUUAUUGGGCGUAAAGAGCUCGUAGGCGGCUCGUUGCGUCGGCUGUGAAAACCCGCAGCUCAACUGUGGGCUUGCAGCCGAUACGGGCGGGCUGGAGUUCGGUAGGGGAGACUGGAAUUCCUGGUGUAGCGGUGAAAUGCGCAGAUAUCAGGAGGAACACCGGUGGCGAAGGCGGCAUCCUGGACCGGUAUUGACGCUGAGGCGCGAAAGCCAGGGGAGCAAACGGG
rnacentral:rRNA from 1 species